rnacentral:miRNA from 1 species
UCUCUCUCUCUCUCUCUUUCUCUCUCUCUCUCUCUCUCUCUCUCUGUGUGUGUGUGUGUGUGUGUGUGUGUGUGUGUGUGGAGAGAGAGAGAGAGAGAGAGAGAGAGAGAGAGAGAGA